rnacentral:rRNA from 1 species
AACUCGAGACGGCGGGGUAGGAGGCCGCCGCGGUAACGACGGGUAACGGGGAAGUCAGGGUUCGGAUUCCGGAGAGGGAGCCCGAGAAACGGCUACCACUUCCAAGGAAGGCAGCAGGCGCGCAACUUACCCUAAUCUCGAUUCGAGGAGGUAGUGACAAGAAAUACCGAUGCGGGACCCUACGGGUGCCGCGUUCGGAAUGAGUACGAUUCGAACCACCUAACGAGGAACGAUCGGAGGGCAAGUCUGGUGCCAGCAGCCGCGGUAAUUCCAGCUCCAAUAGCGUACGUUAAAGUUGCUGCAGUUAAAAAGCUCGUAGUUGAACGUUCGGGUUCCGCGGGACGGGGCCGCCCCGCGAGGGACGGCGCCGCCCCGGGGCUCGUGAUAUCUUAUCUCGCCGCCCGUCGCGAGGCGGACGGAGGGAUGGAUGAGGUUACCUGGAAAAAAAUCGGGGCG